rnacentral:rRNA from 1 species
UUCCAGACUCCUACGGGAGGCAGCAGUGAGGAAUAUUGGUCAAUGGGCGGGAGCCUGAACCAGCCAAGUCGCGUGAAGGAAGAAGGUACUUAGUAUUGUAAACUUCUUUUGUCGGGGAACAAAGGCGGAGACGCGUCUCCGGAUGAGUGUACCCGAAGAAAAAGCAUCGGCUAACUACGUGCCAGCAGCCGCGGUAAUACGUAGGGAGCAAGCGUUAUCCGGAUUUAUUGGGUGUAAAGGGUGCGUAGACGGGAAAUUAAGUUAGUUGUGAAAUCCCUCGGCUCAACUGAGGAACUGCAACUAAAACUGAUUUUCUUGAGUGCAGGAGAGGUAAGUGGAAUUCCUAGUGUAGCGGUGAAAUGCGUAGAUAUUAGGAGGAACACCAGUGGCGAAGGCGACUUACUGGACUGUAACUGACGUUGAGGCACGAAAGUGUGGGGAGCAAACAGGAUUAGAUACCCGAGUA